rnacentral:rRNA from 1 species
GAUGAACGCUGGCGGCGUACCUAAUACAUGCAAGUCGAGCGAAUGGAUUAAGAGCUUGCUCUUAUGAAGUUAGCGGCGGACGGGUGAGUAACACGUGGGUAACCUGCCCAUAAGACUGGGAUAACUCCGGGAAACCGGGGCUAAUACCGGAUAACAUUUUGAACCGCAUGGUUCGAAAUUGAAAGGCGGCUUCGGCUGUCACUGAUGGAUGGACCCGCGUCGCAUUAGCUAGUUGGUGAGGUAACGGCUCACCAAGGCAACGAUGCGUAGCCGACCUGAGAGGGUGAUCGGCCACACUGGGACUGAGACACGGCCCAGACUCCUACGGGAGGCAGCAGUAGGGAAUCUUCCGCAAUGGACGAAAGUCUGACGGAGCAACGCCGCGUGAGUGAUGAAGGCUUUCGGGUCGUAAAACUCUGUUGUUAGGGAAGAACAAGUGCUAGUUGAAUAAGCUGGCACCUUGACGGUACCUAACCAGAAAGCCACGGCUAACUACGUGCCAGCCGCCGCGGUAA